UACGGGGGGUGCAAACGUUGCUCGGAAUUGUUGGGCGUAAAGCGCACGUAGGCGGUCUCUUAAGUCGGGUGUGAAAGCCCCGGGCUCAACCCGGGAAGUGCACUCGAAACUGAAAGGCUUGAGUACGGAAGAGGGUCUCGGAAUUCCCGGUGUAGAGGUGAAAUUCGUAGAUAUCGGGAGGAACACCAGUGGCGAAGGCGGAGACCUGGGCCGAUACUGACGCUGAGGUGCGAAAGCGUGGGGAGCAAACAGG
rnacentral:rRNA from 1 species